CCUACGGGCGGCAGCAGUGGGGGAUAUUGCACAAUGGGGGAAACCCUGAUGCAGCGACGCCGCGUGUGGGAAGACGGUCCUCUGGAUUGUAAACCACUGUCCCCAGGGACGAAGAUGACGGUACCUGGGGAGGAAGCUCCGGCUAACUACGUGCCAGCAGCCGCGGUAAUACGUAGGGAGCGAGCGUUGUCCGGAAUUACUGGGUGUAACGGGAGCGUAGGCGGGACUGCAAGUUGGGUGUCAAAUCUACCGGCUCAACCGGUAGCCGCACUCAAAACUGCAGUUCUUGAGUGAAGUAGAGGCAGGCGGAAUUCCUAGUGUAGCGGUGAAAUGCGUAGAUAUUAGGAGGAACACCAGUGGCGAAGGCGGCCUGCUGGGCUUUUACUGACGCUGAGGCUCGAAAGUGUGGGGAGCAAACAGGAUUAGAUACCCGAGUAGUC
rnacentral:rRNA from 1 species